CUCUCAAAACCCCUCACUUUACUCUCCUUUGCCAAUCGUUGCAGCAAAACUCGGUGCAACGUCUACGUGUCAGUAUCCGAUUCGUUCGUUUCCCCUAUAAAUACCUCUCAUCUCCACCAUCACUUCCCUAACAAGCUAUAGCUCUCCCUAUGGCUACUGACCACUGACACCGCAAGAUAGGGUUCUUCCUUGCAUGCAAUUAUCUGAUCUAUCUAUUUGUUUCUACCAAUAUACACAUAGAUAGAUCUAUAUAUGCACACAUAGAUAUAUGAAUGAAUUGGUCGUUGAAGAGGAGAUUUUGUUGCGGUGGUCUCUAAUUCGCUUGGUGCAGGUCGGGAACUGCUUCGCCGGCGACGUCGUUUCCGAUCGGAGGCCGUGUUUGGCUGUUCUAUUUGAAUUUUAGCGGCGAAUUGGGUCCCGCCUUGCAUCAACUGAAUCGGAGACCACGGUGAGUAUCGGAGUUGCAAAUGUUUCAGAUCUUGGAUUGUUGGAUUUGAAUCUGUUGCCGCCUUUUUGUUUCUGAUAGAUACGGCAUUCAAUGCUUCAAUUUUAGGUUUGAAAUUUUCUAUUUAGUACGAUUUUCUUCUAGAUUUCUAUACUUCAUGGAUCUAUUAUUACAGUAGAAAUCUGUAGAGUUUUUUGAUUUAUUGAUGAAAGUUUGAUUCUUUGUUCUUCAAAAAGGUGAUCUCCAUUUUCAAGUUGAUGUGAUAUGAUCUGCGUCUAGAAUGGCAUCUAGAUCUCGGUCUUUCCUUGGUUAUCCAUCUUAUAAGUAUUGACAUUGAAUUUUUCAGUGUUUGAUAUGGCGUCUAAAACUUCAAUUCUUUCUUCUGUGCUUAUUUGCUCCAAGAAGAUACUGAACUGACCAACACGGCAAUUAGAAAGACGAAGUUAGUUAACUUUUUGUCGGCAAUCAUGAUCGAGUCAAAGCUAUUUUUUUUGGUCAGAUUUGAGUGAGGGCGUUGCAGCGGAAUAUAACUGCACAACAUGACAGUAGUCUCGGAUAAAGAAAAUUCGAUAUGUAUGCUUUGCAGUUACGAGAUAAAGCAAGGAGGUACAAAAGAAUGAUGUAGAACUAACAUAUAAGCUUUGAGCAGAUGUGGGAUUAUACCAAGUAACGAGAUUGGGAAUACUUCCACAUCAAAUUGGUCAAGGAUUUUGAAGUUAGUUUGCGAUGUAUGAGAAACCAACUCAGAGAAGAUACAAGAGUAGAUUUGAGACGAGGAAAUCCAAGAUGAGACUGCAACCAUGUUGAAUGAGAGCAAGUUGGUUCCUCUCAGCUGCUUUAUCUCCUUGACUUGAAUGGCUGAUGGCGUACUUUAAACAACAUUGGGCUACUUCUCUUCAUUACCAAGAUCAACCUUUUAUCUAAGAACAAGGUUGAUCACACUUUUAUUUGUUCUGAUUUUCAGUUGCUUUUCAGGGAAUUUUAGACUGUUGUCGCCGAUUACCCUUUUCUUAUUAUCAGCCAUUCCCUUUUCAGCUGAUACGGUAGAUAUCUGAUUGUUACCUAUGGCUCUGUCCAUUAACAUUGGCUAGUUGGGCUGGUCAGCAGCUGCCAUUAGCUGCCCCCCGACCCGAGUAUCAAAGUUUUCUACUGAUAUUCCAGCAGAAUUUCUUGGUAAUCGACCACUUGUUCCCAUUAAUUUUCCUCUGCUGGUUGAUUUGUCCGCCCAUUAAAUCGGCAAGGCUGACCGAUUUUAGUAUAUUGCUGAUUUUUUAACGAUAGUUACUGAUAUUCUGCCCAACUUUGCUGCUGAUCAAGUUCAAUAGCCACAUCUGGCUGAUAUUCUGCUAAACUUUUUUGCCGAUAUAGACAAGUUUGCCGAUUUCAGUAUUGGCUAUCGGUUGCCCCUCACUUUUCAGAAGGUGACGGUAUUGGAGUAAUUACUGGACUUGAAUGUCCCCAUCCAAUAUCACUGCCCCGGGUCUGGAGGUUCUUCUCCGAGAAGGUUUUCUGGUGCAAUCUGUGACCAUGGUCGAUGGACAUAAAGUUGAUGCGAUGGCUGAUGCACUGUAGGUAUCUGCUGAAAAUUCUAAAUAGUUGAAUGUGGUGAAUAUUCUAGCCAACCAUAUGUUUGAUUGCAAUCCGGCUAACCUUGUUGCUGGUUUGCCAUCGACUGCCUUCCAAGUACUAGUGGUUGAUAUAUAAGAGUGUAUGGUUGAUUUACCACAUGCCGAUAAUCUGCUGCUGGCGGCUCAUUUACCAUAUGCCGAUAAUCGACAGAGGGUAGCUGACAAUUUUCUGGCUGAUUGCCCCCUGCCCCUAGUCAAAGAAUUCUUCAGAAGCUACCUGCUGAUUUUGAAUUUACCGAUAUAAUGCAGGAGGCUGAUAUGCGGAUAUCACUGCUGCUGAUUCUCUAUCCAGAUCGGCUGCAGGUUUGCUGGUAAGUCUGCUUGCUGAUCCAGCUAAGUUGAAAUCACCAAUGCCGGUUGGGGGGAGAAACUGUCGCCAAAGGUAUUGAAAUCCGCCGAGAAACCGAUUCAUAAGCAGUGGAAUUUCCAGCCUGCAUCUGCCGAUUCUGAGGAGCCGAUAUUUGGGCCAUCACAGUAUCCAUGUUGUGAUUAUGUUCUUCGCUGAGUUACGCAUGUAACUCGGCCUUCAUCUUGUUAUUGUUUUUGCUGAUCUGUGCUUGCACAUCAACUUUAUGUGUGUUGAGCAUGGAGGCUUGGACAUCCAUUUUACGCUCUAUUCAUGUCAUCAUAUCCAUGAUCUGUACUAAUGGGAGGUCAUGCAUAGUCGAUACACAAUCAGCGGAUCCACCCAUAGGAAUCGGCUGAUUCUCUUCAUCAUUAUCGUCUUCAGUAGAGACGACACCUUUAGAAUUCUUGCAAUUCGCUCGCCCCAGUGGGUCCCACCGAGGGUGCCAAAAUGUUGACCCUUAAAUUAGCAGAGGCCUGUCAAUUUAGAAAUUGGUUAGCGUGGGCGUGUCAGAACCAAUGGGCCUGGGCAUGUUAAAACCAAUGGGCUUGAUUUGAUUGGGAGAGAUGAGUUUCUUUUUUGUGAAAAUAAUGGAACAUGAGACAACAUGAAACACUCAGGUUCAAUUUGCCUUAAUUAAAACAUGACUUUAAAGCAAAAGCAAA